UACGGAAGGGGGCUAGCGUUGCUCGGAAUCACUGGGCGUAAAGCGCACGUAGGCGGCUUUUAAGUCAGGGGUGAAAUCCUGGAGCUCAACUCCAGAACUGCCUUUGAUACUGAGAAGCUUGAGUCCGGGAGAGGUGAGUGGAACUGCGAGUGUAGAGGUGAAAUUCGUAGAUAUUCGCAAGAACACCAGUGGCGAAGGCGGCUCACUGGCCCGGUACUGACGCUGAGGUGCGAAAGCGUGGGAGCAA
rnacentral:rRNA from 1 species